rnacentral:rRNA from 1 species
GGGCCCGCACAAGCAGCGGAGCGUGUGGUUUAAUUCGAUGCUACACGAAGAACCUUACCAGGGUUUGACAUACAAGUAUGGGAAGGAAACUGGACGACCCUUCGGGGAGCUUGUACAGGUGCUGCAUGGCUGUCGUCAGCUCGUGUCGUGAGAUGUUCGGUUAAGUCCGCUAACGAGCGCAACCCUCACUGUGUGUUAUAUGUGUCACACGGGACUGCCGGUUUUAAGCCGGAGGAAGGUGGGAUGACGUCAAGUCAGCAUGGCCUUUAUAUCCUGGGCUACACACACGCUACAAUGGUCGGUACAAUAGGUUGCCAAGCCGCGAGGCGGAGCCAAUCCAAAAAAGCCGGCCUCAGUUCAGAUUGUAGGCUGCAACUCGCCUGCAUGAAGAUGGAGUUGCUAGUAACCGCAGGUCAGCAAUACUGCGGUGAAUACGUUCCCGGGUCUU